CCAGCGGUUGCCAGGGGAAGCAAUGUCGUGGUUAUGAUUACAUCAAAUGUUUUGAUUAGAUGUGUAUUUUGUCACAUGCACAGGUUCGUUGAUGUAGUUGCAGUGUACAGUGAAAUACUUACGCUCCGAGCUCCAACAGUCUCCUCGGAAAUGUGUACGCCAAGGAACUUGAAGUUUUUGACCAUCUCUACAUCAGCCAUGUUGAUGAGGAUGGGGGCGUGCCCAGCCUGAUUCCUCCUGAAGUCUACAAUCAGCUCCUUUGAUUUGCUGACUUUGAGGGAGAGGUUGUUUACCUGACACCACAAAAAUGGCUUCCUGGCUUUGAAUGGACAGUUUGAUUGAUUGGGUAUCUUGCAUCUGCCUGAUGGCCGUCUCAGCUGUGUGUCUGGCCACCUCCUCCGCCAUUCGCACCAAAUCCACGCAGCCCUGGGUCAUCCUGCAGAGAUUUGCACAUUGCUGGGAUAUUACUAGUAUGUCAUAUUAAGCUAACUUUAUUUAGACAACUUUAUUUCUCAUUUAACUUACUCCUUUAGACUGAAGGGGGAAGAAAUCUGGUUAACCCAAUGAGAAGAUAUGCAACUUCUGUUGGAUCACCAUAACCAGACAAUGUGUAAAAUAGUGACUGUGUGUAGACUGCUGUGAUAUUCUACAUAAAUUACUUUGAG
ensembl:lncRNA